ACGCUGGCGGUAGGCUUAACACAUGCAAGUCGUGCGAGAAAGUAUCUUCGGAUAUGAGUAGAGCGGCGGACGGGUGAGUAACGCGUAGGAAUCUACCUAGUAGAAGGGGAUAGCCCGGGGAAACUCGGAUUAAUACCGUAUACCUCCUUCGGGAGAAAGAAGGCCUCUCUUUGAAGCUUUCGCUACUAGAUGAGCCUGCGUAAGAUUAGCUUGUUGGUGAGGUAAAGGCUCACCAAGGCGACGAUCUUUAGCGGGUCUGAGAGGACGAUCCGCCACAUUGGGACUGAGACACGGCCCAGACUCCUACGGGAGGCAGCAGUGGGGAAUAUUGGACAAUGGGCGCAAGCCUGAUCCAGCCAUACCGCGUGUGUGAAGAAGGCCCUAGGGUUGUAAAGCACUUUAAGUUGGGAAGAAAAGUUAUUGGUUAAUACCCAAUAGCCGUGACAUUACCAUCAGAAUAAGGACCGGCUAAUUCCGUGCCAGCAGCCGCGGUAAUACGGAAGGUCCAAGCGUUAAUCGGAAUUACUGGGCGUAAAGCGCGCGUAGGUGGUUUAU
rnacentral:rRNA from 1 species